AUGAGGAAGGCUGACCGUUUAGUUAACCAGUUAUUCACCUAGAAGUGCUGGCGCCACAGCGUCUGGUGAUGGCCUUUCAAGAGACGCUCGUCACAGUCGGCGGGCCGUAACGGUCGGAGCUCCAUUCCCCUUCGUCCGAUUCUGUUCAAAUUUUAGGUGCAUGUUUCCCGUUCCGACCGUGUCCUAUUUGGCUCUUGGAUUCUCAUCCAAGCCGUUGCGAGUGCCAUCUCAGUGCUUGGACGCUUACUUGCUUAUUCUACCCUGCUUCUCGGAGCCAUCUGGACGUAUUUCGCUCCGCUCUGCGUGGGACUUAUAUUUUCGUCGCCGUCUCCAUGCUGUGACAGUGUCUUUGUGCCGUGUCAGUGAUCACUGAAGGUGUUUUGUGUGUGUACCUUAGAAUCAACCUACAGAAGCCGUGGCAGGUGUGUGCGCAUUCCAGAUACCUUCGUCAAAUAUGCAGAAAAAGAAACUAUCGACAUCAAAGGUGCCUGGACAGAAACGGAAAAAGCUCAUCAAAAAGCAUUUGGCAAACUUUCUGAGGGACCUACGUCGCGCCAGUACCUGAAUAAACCGGUAUUUUGUAA